AAAAUAUUGCCUACCAAAUUAUCGAAAGAAAUAGGUCGUGUGGCUGUUAUACCGAUUGUUCUUUUAAAAUGUAGAAAGGACAGGUGGCGGCGUUGACUAGACUUUUUAAAGGCUUCAGUAUUGUGGCGCUUGAAAGUGAACUAGCUAAGGUGAUAGACCUAAGGGUAGGCUACAUUGAAUUUGGCCAAAUGUCUCAGAGGUGUCCUUUUGAUCAACUUGCAAUUUUCUGCACUGGUCAGCUCCGUUGGCGGGAUAACGGAGGUGAUCGAAGUUCUGAACAGUAGACGUAGCCUAUCUAAACAGACCGUUCGUGAUUAGGUAGGUGACUUAUCUGAUCUAUCUAGAUCUAUUUAAUUGCGAAACAUGUUUCUAAACAACGAGAAAUAUUGCUGUUACCCUAUUAUGUUCAAUUGUUGAAACAUAUUGCCAACCAACGAGAAACGUUGUUAUUAGGCUACUCUAUAAUACUGAACAAAGAAGUUACUUAUAGGUCUAUUGAAAGUUAGCACAUGAUUCAGCUUAAAUCAAUAUGUGGAAUGUCAUAUUGAAUACCAUAUAUAGACCUUACAGACAUAGCCCAUACAAUCGGCUUGAUGUUAUUUAGAUGUGAUGUGACUGCAACAGUUGGUUAAUAGGCCUAAAUGAAGUAACCUUAUUCCAAACAAUAGGCCUAAGUGGGAGAGGUGAAUGUGGUUUGGGACUGCACAGGACCAUCACAUUUGUUGAAUCAGGGAUAUUCUUCGCGACAGACUUCAUGAUAGAUUGAGCUGAAACAAAGUGGGCCUGGGCCUAUCACUAAGUCACUAAAAUAGAUGUUUCAUUGCUCCUGUAUUUCGUAAACCUACAUACACUUCUAUAUUUGUUGCCUUUUCAUAUCGCCCAUUGUUCAUUAAUUUGUGGAGGCUACUUCCAAAUUCCACAUUCCACCAUUAUGAAUUGUGCAUCAUAUAUUCCCUUUAUUAUAUAAUAGUUGACGGCACCAACAUGGAACCUCUACUUCAUGGACUUCAUGUAGUGGUCAGUCUUAUCUCAUGGUUGUCAAAUAUAGGGACCAGACCUAGAUUUUACCCCAGUUCCAUUGUGGCAUCUCAAAACCCUUUCUCCUCCUCCCAAUCCUU
ensembl:lncRNA